rnacentral:rRNA from 1 species
UGAGGAAUAUUGGUCAAUGGACGGAAGUCUGAACCAGCCAUGCCGCGUGCAGGAUGACGGCUCUAUGAGUUGUAAACUGCUUUUAUACUAGGGUAAAACUGGGUACGUGUACCCACUUGAAAGUAUAGUAUGAAUAAGGAUCGGCUAACUCCGUGCCAGCAGCCGCGGUAAUACGGAGGAUUCGAGCGUUAUCCGGAUUUAUUGGGUUUAAAGGGUGCGUAGGCGGUAAUUUAAGUUAGUCGUUAAAUCGGAAGGCUCAACCUUCUCAUGGCGAUUAAUACUGGGUUACUAGAGAUUAGAUGCAGAGGGCGGAAUGUGUAGUGUAGCGGUGAAAUGCUUAGAUAUUACACAGAACACCGAUUGCGAAGGCAGCUCUCUAAUCUACAUCUGACGCUCAGGCACGAAAGCGUGGGGAUCAAACAGG